GAUUCUCUCCUACCUCUCCUGUCACCGUCGUCCGCCACUCUCCUCCCCUCUCACUACCACGCUCAUUCCCCCUCCCACUCUCAGUCACAAACUCAUAGUCCUCUAUUUUUCUUUGUCGUCGUUGUCCAGCCGUCCAGGAAUCGCCGUUUCCGUCGAAGCCUCACGUUGUCCAACAGCUGCGUCUCUCAAUGUCGUCGUUCUCCACACCGUCGAUCUCAACAGCCUUGUCCUUUUUAGCGACGUCGUUCUCCGUCCUUCUCAAUCUCUCUGCCGUUAUCAGCGUCGUGAUACUCUAUCAUUCUAAGUCUCUCUGCCUUCGUUGUUGCAUCUUCUAAUGGAGCCUCAACCUCAGGUAUUAUGGCACGGGAUUGAUUUGUUGAUAGUAUGGAAGAGGCUAAGGGUAAUGUUAACCAUUUUCCCUUUUUUUAUGUUCAUCAGAUCUCACUUUUGGCAACUAUAAUAUCAAAAAGGAAAGUAGUUGAAGAUUCUUCAUCUUUCAGUGAUGGAAAAUCCAUCUGGUUUGAAGGGUACACUACAGUGAGGAAGUUUACUUCAUUCACUGAUGCUAAAGUAUCUGAACAUGAGUAAGGACAAGUGUAACAUCCUUGCUACCAGAAUGUCACGCUUCCGGCCGCGCCACUCCAAUAGCAUGGAUAUUAUGACGACUUUCAAUAAAAUAUUUAAUACUAAGAUAGGAGCAUUUUAGCGCUUAGAACCGUGUAAAAAUUUUUUCUUUAGAAAGAAAGGGAACCCAUAAAUACUCUUUAUUUAAAUACAUACAUACAUGCAUACAAACCAGAUAUAACACUUAAA